rnacentral:lncRNA from 1 species
GAGCCCCCCGGGCCGCCUCCCUCCCUCCGGCUCUGGAGAGGAGCAGGAACCCGGCGGGAGGGCCGGGGGCAGCGGCGGAGCCCCGCCGAGAGCGAUCGGGACGAGGAGCGGGAGGCACCGGCAGCCACGGGGUCCCCUGCGCGCAGGAUGGGGGCUGUGCCCGCACGGCCCAGGACAGGCUCCCUUCUCUCUGCGUGCCCGAGUGCAGCAUCCAGCACAUGAAGAUAAAACACCGGAAUUAGGCCGAACUGUAAAGACAGAUCAGGUUCCAGGGGAUGCACUUGUGCAGAUGAAGAGUGAAACGGCCAGCCCAGAGAUGAAGCACUGUGCCCUGUGACAUUUAUUUUU